CUACUCCAUUGGAUUCAGGUGAAUAAGGUGGAGUAAAUUCAUGAAUUAUUCCUUCUCUUUCACAAAAGUCAUUAAAUGAGAAAUAUUCUCCACCUCUAUUUUAUCUAAUCCUUUUUAUUUUUCUAUUUAAUUGAUUUUCUACUUCAGCUCUAUAUAAUUGAAACAUAUCAAAUGCUUCAUCUUUGUUUCUAAGUAAAUAUACUUUAGUAUAUCUAGAAUAAUUGUAAUAUCCUGCUAGACUUCGGUGUCGGAAUUCCAACCUUCCGACGGAAUCCCCAUUGGAAUUCGAAAUCUCGAAUACCAGACCCUCUUAGAAGGGUAAAAUACAUUUUUACAAAAUGCUUUUCAUGAUUUUAUUGAUUGGUUUUGAGUUAAAGUUUUAAAAUGAAAGAAAAAUACUUUUGAGGGACAAGCCCAGGUUCGGCCGCCGAACAUGGUGCUGCCGCGGGAGCUCUCCUUUCGGCCCCCGAAGGUAGUCUGGCCAGCCACCUAUAAGAGGCCACCAGUCCAAAAAUGGGGGAGUUUCUCUCUCUAUUUUCGGGCAAAGGUGAGUUCCUGCCCUUCUUUUGAUGAUUUUAUAUUUUUUCUUCAAAUCCUCAUGAGUUUUCGCUUGUUUUUGAAGUUUUGAGAUUGGAUCAAAGAUUUUAAAGUUGGGAGCUCAUGUCUCCUCAACUCCAAGCUUGGGUUGCAUCUACCUUAGAUCUUCCAGAGAUAAGUGUAGAUCCUUGCCUUUUUAUAUGUUUUAAGUAAGUUUUAAAAAGGGUUAAGGGUUAAAAAUGCAUGAUAUGGCUAGAACUAAGGUUAUAGACUUUGAGUUGGGUUUUGGUGAAUGUAUGCUCUCUCUUGUGUUUUGUUGUUGUUUGUUGGGGUUUAGGCUAGUUAUUAUACCCCUUAUGCAUGUUGGAGUGAGUAGGCAUGUUGGAGUGAGUAGGCAUGUUGUGGGAAGUUGGGUGUGAGGAUUUGAGAGUUUUGGGGCUGAAAUGUAUAGGGCAGAAUCGGGUUCUGCCAUCCUGGAGAACCCAGGUUUGGCUGCCAAAGUAGGGUUCGGCCGCCGAACCUGCAUGGGAGGCAGCCUUUUGGCCGCCUAACUUGCCCUAGAAAGCAUGCACUUUUGGAUCUGUAAGGGAGUUUCGGCCGCCGAACCCGCCUCCGAAAGUCCCUGACUUUCGAAUCUAUGGAGGACCUUCGGCCGCCGAACCUGCCCCCGAAUGACCCCGACUUUCGAAUCUAUAGAGGACCUUCGACCGCCGAACCUGCCACCGAAAGUCCUCUGCCCAGCCUUCCUUUGCUUAUUUUAUAUGCAUGUUUUGUGAUAUUUUAGGGGGUUUUUAAGGAGUUGUUUAGAAUCAUAUAAUAGUUGUGUUGGUCCCUUAUUUGAGUCCACCUGUGUAGGAUCGGACGAGGGAGACUGUAGAGGCCAUCAGUGAGCCAGCUGCGUCCUUGUCAGUCGAGCGUUAGCCAGAGGUGAAUAGAACUGAACUAUAUUUUAAAGUAACUAAAUUUUUUUAAGCAUAUUCAUGCAUCACGAAUGCCAUGUUAUGUAUUAGGUUGUUUUGCAUUGGAAUUCAUGAAUAUGAUGCAUUGCAUAAAUUAUUGUUGAUGUGGAUGAAUGUUAGAUGACCCACUAGCCCUCGAGCAGGUAUGAUAUGAUACGGAUAUGGAAGACCAAGGCUGCCCAUUCUACGCGCCCUGGCACGAUGUAAGGGAAAGAUCAGGGCUGCCCAUUCUACGGCCCUGGCAUAGUUGAAUAUGUUAUGUUAUGUUUAAGAGGAAGUCCUGAGGAGCUCCGUCGAGGGCCGGGCAUUAUUUGGAUAUAUAGAGGGUUACUGGUGACAAGUCCAUCCUUGAUGUGUAUUGUUUGUGUUGUGAUGCAUUUCAUGAGAGCAUAUGUUUAUUAAAUUGUUUUUAUGUUCUGCUAGGUUUGCAGAAUCAAGAAUAGUUCGGGAAGUCGGCUAGAGGCUGGUAUAAGUUUAUGUAAUAAAAUAGUAGUGGACAUGUACUACGUAAUGGAUUAGAUUUGUGCUUUGCCCUAGUUUAUGUUUAGUAAUCCCUGUUUAUCAUGAUCUUUAUGUAAAAAUUUUUAAUGAUAAGUUAUGUUGAACCAAGCUUGAGGCAUGUGAUGUUGACCAUACUAGAGCAUUUGAUAAGGGCUCUAGUGUGGGUUUUAUGUAUACAGGUUAUGAUGCAUGCACAGGUUGGGCUUGGUAUAUGAAAUGAAAAAUUUUUUAUGAAAAUGUAUGAUCAUGUGUGGGAUUUUAUCAGGUACACAGGAUACUUAAUAGGCUUUAGUAGAACAUAAUUUAGUCCAUAUUAUCAUGAUGUUAUUGAUGUUAAUUUACACUAUUUCUGCUUAAUUUUGUGGUUUUAAUCUUAUUCUGCAGAAAAUGGUGUAAAGAGACAAUUUGGAAAAAAAUGCCCCUAAAACUGCCUUAAUUGGAGUAAAGGAGAGCAAGCAUGCCAAGUGCAACUGAAAGGAGCCAAAUAAGGAAAGUAAUUUAAAAUUCAAAUUUCAAAUCCUUAAGAGAAUUCAAAAUUCAAAUUCAAGAUUCAGCACAUUAAGGAAAGUGCUAAAUAAGGAAACUGCAGUCAAAAGGGCAGUUUGAAAUUCAAGAUCUUCAAGAAUCCUUUUCCUUAUUUAAGAAGCCAAAUUUUCACUGCAUCACUCCCAAUCACUGUCCACAAUAUCACUGUCCACAAUUUUGAUGAUAGCUACCAUAAGGUAAAUGGGGUUAGAAUUUUAAUCACAAGUAGUACAGUAUGUAAGAAUUUCAAGGAAUAAUGACUAAACACAGCUAACAGAAGUGGCAGCCAUUAAAUUGAUUUUAAGUAACCAAAUAGCAAAUAAUCAGAUUAAUAAUCAAAUAAUCAGAUUAAUAGUUUACAUGGGGCCUUGAGGGUUACAUUAAGGUCAAGGUUGGUGAUGGGCAACUAUAGAGAGGCUUGCACACAGAAAGCCAGAGGGUAUGGCCUCUAACAAAUCUGUCAGAUGAAAUAUCAAACAAUUAAAGCCUCUGCUAUCAAAAUUGCAGAUAGUAAUUAGUUCAAUCAGGCAAAACUUGCACUUCUAGUUCUAUAUCAAGAGCCUAAGAAAUUAUAUCAAGUAUGAAAACAAAAACAGGUUCCAGCUUCUACAAAAUCACUCAUAAAAAGCAGUCAUUAGGAAUAAAAUAGACAGUAAGACACUCCACAAAACAAAGGAGAGAAAAUGAUUGCAAAAUUACUUAAACAAAUGAGGAUUACAUAACCAUAAUUAAUUUACAGUAGCAAAAGAUUUUCACCAAUUUGAUUAAAUCAGGUCCAAUUCCUAAAAGUACAACACAGGAGCACGAAAGUAAACUCAACAGGAUUUAACCAAGAAAUAAAGAAAGAAAAGAAUAUCAUAUAUGCACAACAUAAACAUGCUUAUUAAGAAGAUUAACUUAAGAACCAAUCCAAUUUUAAGAACCAAUCCAAGAAGAUUAUAACCAAUCCAAUUUUGAUUAUCAAAAAAUUUGAUUGCAAACCUGAAGAGAGUUCCAGUCAAAGGAGAUGUAAUAUCUAAAUGACCAAACCAGAACCCUGGCUAUUUCAGCGAACAGAGUUUCAACAAGUACCUGGCUAUUUCAGCUCGCCGCCUGGCCUGUUCAGCGAUCAAGGAGGAUCUAGAUCGCCUGCCAUUAAACUCAAGGUCUGCAGCCAUCAAACCUUGUUUCAAGUAUGAAUAGACCCCAUUCAAAAGAGCUCAAACCAAUCAAAGAUGCUUAGAGGAGUGACAGCAAUUAUAAUUUUUAGAAACUCUAUGUUAUCGAACUUCAAGUAUGAAUAGAGAAUAUGAGAGAAUAAAGUUAUUAGAGGAAAAACCUUGGCAAAGCACCAGCUUCUGCAGCUUGUUUCAAGUUCUGCACCCGAUUCUUCCCUUGUUUUUCCGACUCUAUGGAUCCUCCCCUGGCUCUGCAGAAAAUGCAACCAUUCAUGUGUAAAGCAUAUUUAAAAGCUUAUAUAUUUCCGAAUAAAAGCCUAAUAUUUUGCAAUAUAAUUGCGUGUUAAAAAGAUUCCAAAUAAGUACUAUCUUUUAAAAUAUUUUUCCAAAGAAAAAUGAUACUAAAAGCAACAUUCACAAUUAGGUUUUCCCUGAUAUGACAAUAUUCACUGUAGCAUUACCGUCAGUCAUCUUGGCCUCAAUGAUGGGAAUAUCUUCAUCAUCAUUAACACGAUCAUACCCAUAACGACGCUUCCAAGUGCCAGUUUGUUCAUCCCACACCACCUUGUCUUUCUUUCGAUUCUUUGUACCUGCGAGAAACAUCAACUAGAUAUAAUCAAUCACACCAGCUUUGAAUGAGAGAAAUUAAGAUUCAGCCAAAACUUUCAAUUGAACAGACUGAGAUAUUCUCACAAGUCAUAAUCCUAAAAUCCAAAAAUCUCAAUUAGAUUUAAUUGAACACAAGAAUUCGUUCCUCCAUAAUAUACUUUUUACUCAGGUAGCAGACAAUAGUUGAGAUAAAAUACCUUUCACUUAGGCAAACAAUUCCAACUUUGUUGGAGGUUUGGGCUUUGGCAACUGAAAAUAGAGCAUAACAAGCUAAUGAGUUAUCAUGCUAAACCAAAAAAAGGAAAUUUUGUAGCAGCUUACUCAUUAUUGAAAAAUGAUGAGACAAAUAAAAAAAUGCAAUAUUUAAUAUAAGAAUUCAACAACAGCAUAUCAACUUAAAAGAACUGAUACAAUUAUUAUUAUUAUUAUUAUUAUUAUUAUUAUUAUUAUUAUUAUUAUUAUUAUUAUAUAUUUUUUUUUGGGGGGUGUUUGAAAGGAGGAGGGGGUGUGGAAUAUAAAGGGAAGAAUACAAAGGAAGGAAAAAAAAGAGUAUUCUGCAUGGUAUUUUGUUUCUCAAUUACUUCAUUUCCAUCUUCCUAGGAUUAGGCAUAAACACUUCCUACAGAUCUGCAUGAUGUAGUCCCUGAACUUUUGGGAUAACUCAUCUCUUCCGUUAAAUUUGUUUGUAAAAGUAAUGACUUGGACUUGGAGUAUCACAAUACCAAUUAGCAAUAAUUUCUCUCCCCUAAAAUGGCCAUAGUGGAUCCAACUGAGUGAAAAAAAAUAAUAAUCGUGAAAAUCAGGAACAUCAAUUCUUCCCAUUUAUGAUAGAAGGGCCCUUUGAAACUUCCUUUCAUGCAGAAGAGGGAAAUGACCGCUAACUGUUAUUCUGGUUUGUGGGUUCCCAAGUCAUACUUGUUUGCCAACAUAAACAAAUUUUGGGUGCCAACAGAUGGGUUUAGUUGCACCAUUUUGUCAACUUCAAAUAUUUGAUAGUUAAUAUAUACACUAUUUAGUAUAUAUAAUUUUAGCUAUUCAUACUCUGCAAUUUAUCCAUAAUAUUCCGUUGUCUAACUAAAAUUAAUUGAUUAAGGUAAUAUUAAUUUAACAUUGGUGAUUUUUAAUUUAAUCUUAGUAUUUUAAUCUUAAUUUAAAAAACUAUUCAUAUAAAUUUAAUAUAUUAAUAUUAAAAUUACUAUUAUCAUAUAUAUUAUAAAUUGAAUAAUAUUUAAUAUAAAAACUAUUAAUUGAAUAAUAUAUAAUAUAAAUUUAAUAUAUUAAUAUUAAAAUUAAUAAUAUUAUAAUAUCAAUACUUUUAAUACUAAUUAAAAUGAUAUUUUAUGAUAGUUUUAUUUUUUACAAAUUAAAUAUUGUUUGAGAAUAAAAAACAUUAAAUAAUUUGUAAUGGACACUUCUUUAAGAAACCAGUAAGAAUCUGUGCUAUCCUUAUUCUUUUGGUACACUUAGCAAACACUUCUAUCAAAUGAGUUUAAAUUUGGAAUCUCAGACCAACACUUCUACCAAAUCAGUUUAAAUGAACGUAAUGGACAAACAGAGGCAUAAUUCACCUGAAAUUCUAAACCUAAAUCCUAUGUUCCAAAAUCUGAAUAGCAGCAAAAUGUGUAAAAAGCUUUUAUAUAUCAUUGUCACUCAGUGCAACCCUUAAUCAUAACAUAUUAGUAUUGGACGGGAACCUAGCACAUUUCUCCAAGCUGGUAAAGAAACGAUAUAAACUCAAUAACACCAAGGGAGAUUAUCAGACUCCAAUCUUUAAGAAACCAGCAAGAAUCUGUGCUAUCCUUAUUCUCUUGGGAUACUUAGCAAACACUUCUAUCAAAUGAGUUUAAAUUUGGAAUCUCAGACAAACACUUCUACCAAAUCAGUUUAAAUGAAGGUAAUGGACAAACAGAGGCAGCAAUGAGUCAAAAUAAACCAUUUCAAAUCAUGAUACGAGACACAUCACAAAUUCCAGCAAUUGGUACAGUUAACAAGAGUGGUGUAAUAUGAUCUGCAUUAGUAGGCUAACAAUGCCAGUGAAAUCCACUACACUAAGAUUAAACAUGAAAAUAUUUGACGCAGACAUCAGAUGUAAACACCCAAUAUUUAGACGAGGAAACUAUAUAGACUGCCUUAUGAAUCCUUUCUCUAGUCUGGGUAAAAUCAUAUUUCAGAAAGCAUUCAUGAAACAAAUGAAUAAUGAGAUUCACGCCAGAAUAUUUGUUGGGAACAAAAACUAAAAUAAUGAAAUUCAAGAAAACUAAAUUAAUUCCACCAUAUUAAAAUUAGACUGUAUGUCCCUGACAAGACUUCACAGGUUUAAAACCUAAAUUACAGUAUAACAUAGCAUUUUACACGAAACAGUUCAUUUACUUUCCAUGGACAGUUUCUAAUGGACUGGAGAGCGACAUUUAACCAACACUUUUCUCUGAUCCAAAUGUAAAAAAAAAUUACUUACCUUUUACAGUUGCUGAUGAGGACCGAGGAGGCGAGGACUGAGAACUGAGAAAGACUGAGGACUUGAGGAAGACAGAGGAUUGAGGACAACCAAGUUGCUGACAACAUUGAGAGCCGAUGGACUGGAGAGCGACGGCCGAAGAUUGCGUGGAGAGCGACGACCGACGAUUGUGUGGAGACUGGAGAGAGAGACUAGAGAGCUACAGUGAGGUAAGGAGGAGUCGGCGACUCAGCGUUACAAGUGAAGAUCGACGACCCGAGUUAGCCGCGAUGGUUAAUCGGUCUAUGUCGGGAGGAGAGUGGAGGUUGGACGGUGGACAGUGGACCCGCUGGAAGUGGUGGAGCUCAGUGCUCAGAGAAGAGGCACAGGCAUGUGUGACGGGAGGGUGAGGCGGCGUAGAAUUGAUAUUACAGAUUAGCGUCUCUACUCUCAGUGGCACAGCUUUUAGAUUUAGGGCAAAUAAGCUUAUAAGGGUACAUUACAAAACGACGUAGUAUAGGUGAUUUUGGUUCGGUCAGAAAUCGAAUUGAAUCGAUCCGGUCUGAUUCGGUUCGAUUCGGUUCGGUUUGAUCGGUUUCAAUUUUUAAUAAUUUUUUUUUUAUUUUUUACACUUUAUUUUUAGUAUUUUAAAAUUUAAUUAAAAUAUUUUAAUCUUAAUAUGAUUUAAUUUCUCUAUAUUAUUGAAAAAACAUAUUAUUAUCAUUAAUCGGUUCGGUUCGAUUUUUUCAUUUUUUCUGAUCAAAAUCGAACCGAAUCGAAAUAAUCGAAAAUUUUAAAAUUAAAAACCGAAUCAAACCGAAAUGUAUAAAAACCGAACCAAAUUUUCAAAUCGGUUCGGUACGGUCGGUUUUUUCGGUUUGAACCGAUUUCUGCUCCCUUCUAGGAUUAGGGUUAAUUUUGUUAGGAAUUAGGGAUUAAGGAUUAGAAAUUAGGGAUUAGGAUUAGAGAUUAUAGUUAGGGAUUAGGGAUUAGGGAUUAGAGAUUAGGGAUUAGGGAUUAGAGAUUAGGAUUAGUUUUGUUAGGAAUUCGAGAUUAAUUAGGAAUUAGAGUUAGAGAUUAAUUAGGGAUUAGGAAUUAGGAAUUAGGGUUAAUUUUAUUAGGGAUUAGGGAUUAAUUAGGGAUUAGAGAUUAGGGAUUAGGAUUAGGGAUUAGGUUAGAGUAUCCUUAAAUUAUCAAAACGACGUCAUUUCACUUAAUUUAAAAUUUAAAAUUUUAAAUAAAAUAAAAUUUAAUUAAAAAUCAAAUUAAAAUUUUAAAAUUGGAAUGGUUGCUGAUUGGUCGCUAUUUAGCGACCAAUCUAAUUAGUCGCUAAAUAUGGUCGCAAAAUAUUUCCGCCCAAAAUGUAGUCGUAAUUUCGUCGCAAAUAUGGUCGCAAAUAUCUCGCGCCACUAAUUCCUGCUAAAUUUAGCGACGAUUUAAGAUUUGGUCACUAAAUAGCGACCAAAUAACGACCAAUUUUUGGUCGUUGAGCUUUUUGUUAAAUAAAAAUAUUAUUUCAUUCAUGUAGUAGCAGAAUGGUCGCUGAUUGGUCGCUAUAUAACUACCAAAAAUUUUGGUCGCUAAUUUUGGUCGCAAUUUCACAGUUUUUUGUAGUGAAGGCUGCCCAUUCUACGCGCCCUGGCACGAUGUAAGGGAAAGAUCAGGGCUGCCCAUUCUACGCCCCUGGCAUAGUUGGAUAUGUUAUGUUAUGUUUAAGAGGAAGUCCUGAGGAGCUCCGUCGAGGGCCGGACAUUAUAUGGAUAUAUAGAGGGUUACUGGUGACAAGUCCAUCCUUGAUGUGUAUUGUUUGUGUUGUGAUGCAUUUCAUGAGAGCAUAUGUUUAUUAAAUUGUUUUUAUGUUCUGCUAGGUUUGCAGGGUCAAGAAUAGUUCGGGAAGUCGGCUAGAGGCUGGUAUAAGUUUAUGUAAUAAAAUAGUAGUGGACAUGUACUAUGUAAUGGAUUAGAUUUGUGCUUUGCUCUAGUUUAUGUUUAGUAAUCCCUGUUUAUCAUGAUCUUUAUGUAAAAAUUUUUAAUGAUAAGUUAUGUUAAACCAAGCUUGAGGCAUGUGAUGUUGACCAUACUAGAGCAUUUGAUAAGGGCUCUAGUGUGGGUUUUAUGUAUACAGGUUAUGAUGCAUGCACAGGUUGGGCUUGGUAUAUGAAAUGAAAAUUUUUUUAUGAAAAUGUAUGAUCAUGUAUGGGAUUUUAUCAG
rnacentral:lncRNA from 1 species